rnacentral:rRNA from 1 species
GUGGGGAAUAUUGGACAAUGGGCGCAAGCCUGAUCCAGCCAUACCGCGUGGGUGAAGAAGGCCUUCGGGUUGUAAAGCCCUUUUGUUGGGAAAGAAAUCCUGUCGGUUAAUACCUGGCGGGGAUGACGGUACCCAAAGAAUAAGCACCGGCUAACUUCGUGCCAGCAGCCGCGGUAAUACGAAGGGUGCAAGCGUUACUCGGAAUUACUGGGCGUAAAGCGUGCGUAGGUGGUGGUUUAAGUCCGUUGUGAAAGCCCUGGGCUCAACCUGGGAAUUGCAGUGGAUACUGGAUCACUAGAGUGUGGUAGAGGGAUGCGGAAUUUCUGGUGUAGCAGUGAAAUGCGUAGAGAUCAGAAGGAACAUCCGUGGCGAAGGCGGCAUCCUGGGCCAACAUUGACACUGAGGCACGAAAGCGUGGGGAGCAAACAGGAUUAGAUACCCUAGUAGUCC